rnacentral:rRNA from 1 species
AGCGAACGCUGGCGGCAGGCUUAACACAUGCAAGUCGAGCGGGCAUAGCAAUAUGUCAGCGGCAGACGGGUGAGUAACGCGUGGGAACGUACCUUUUGGUUCGGAACAACACAGGGAAACUUGUGCUAAUACCGGAUAAGCCCUUACGGGGAAAGAUUUAUCGCCGAAAGAUCGGCUCGCGUCUGAUUAGCUAGUUGGUGAGGUAAUGGCUCACCAAGGCGACGAUCAGUAGCUGGUCUGAGAGGAUGAUCAGCCACAUUGGGACUGAGACACAGCCCAAACUCCUACGGGAGGCAGCAGUGGGGAAUAUUGGACAAUGGGCGCAAGCCUGAUCCAGCCAUGCCGCGAGAGUGAUGAAGGCCCUAGGGUUGUAAAGCUCUUUUGUGCGGGAAGAUAAUGACGGUACCGCAAGAAUAAGCCCCGGCUAACUUCGUG